rnacentral:rRNA from 1 species
UGGGGAAUAUUGGACAAUGGGCGCAAGCCUGAUCCAGCCAUGCCGCGUGUGUGAAGAAGGCCUUUUGGUUGUAAAGCACUUUAAGCGAGGAGGAGGCUACUUGGAUUAAUACUCUAGGAUAGUGGACGUUACUCGCAGAAUAAGCACCGGCUAACUCUGUGCCAGCAGCCGCGGUAAUACAGAGGGUGCGAGCGUUAAUCGGAUUUACUGGGCGUAAAGCGUGCGUAGGCGGCUUCUUAAGUCGGAUGUGAAAUCCCUGAGCUUAACUUAGGAAUUGCAUUCGAUACUGGGAAGCUAGAGUAUGCGAGAGGAUGGUAGAAUUCCAGGUGUAGCGGUGAAAUGCGUAGAGAUCUGGAGGAAUACCGAUGGCGAAGGCAGCCAUCUGGCCUAAUACUGACGCUGAGGUACGAAAGCAUGGGGAGCAAACAGG